UACAUAAGUAACCUGCCCUAGACAGGGGGAUAACUAUUGGAAACGAUAGCUAAGACCGCAUAGGUACGGACACUGCAUGGUGACCGUAUUAAAAGUGCCUCAAAGCACUGGUAGAGGAUGGACUUAUGGCGCAUUAGCUGGUUGGCGGGGUAACGGCCCACCAAGGCGACGAUGCGUAGCCGACCUGAGAGGGUGACCGGCCACACUGGGACUGAGACACGGCCCAG
rnacentral:rRNA from 1 species